UGUUUUGGCUGGGAAAAAGAACUGUCUUCUGUCAUUAGGCAAUAGAAUUGAGUAAGAGAUGGCAUCUUGUGCUGUGAUGGGGAAAUGAGAUUUUCUUUUGGAGAUACACUGGGCGGUCAAGAAUUUUCAUGUGACAUCAAAGCCAAAGGACUAAAGAACAGGCUGCUGCUUUGUAGAGGUGCAAAGAGCAGCACUGCUUGGUAUGAAAAGGACAUUAAAGUGGUUAAAGGCUACCCAGAAGUUUGUUAAAAUGCUCCAUAGCCACCAAGUGCCCAUAUGAAUUUUGCCACACAAAAUACUAUCUCCUUUAAAGAAUUGUGAAAUCUCAUAGACCUCUUGAAGCAAGAUUAUGGAUAUCACAGAGAAAAAUGAUGAAGUAAUUCACAUUCCAGAAAUCAUGCAAUGGCCUCUGGAGUAAAGCGUGCAAACAAAUUAAAAGGUGAAGAGCAAUGGUGUGCAGGAGGAAGUUCUUGGAGAGAGGCAGAAUAUUCCAGCUUUUUCUUUGGGGGAUUCUGGCAUAGUUUUCACCUUCCCUGACUACAAGGACUGUCCAAAAUUCUUAGUCUUCACAGGAAGAUUUGGCAAAGAAGGAAAGUUCCAUCACCAAUUUGCAGUUGAUGCAGGUAAUGCCUCAGUACUAUGUGCUAUAUCAUWAUUUUUUUUUCUUGCACAGUGACCUGAACACAGAUUCAGUUGACUUGGAGGCUGGUUCAGGCUCCCUGAAGGUGAUGACAUCUUACUAUUUCCCGGAAGCYUAGCGUGCAAAUACUGCUUUGCAUACAGAUGUUUUUGCAACACGACAAAUAUUUCAGUGCUGAAGUUUCAUUUAAUUUGAAAAAAUGAAAAUGAAAAAUGUUUUUUGUAAAUGCAGCCUUCAAGGCCUUGAAAUUUACAGAAAUUAAACACAUUUAAUUUAUUCAUAUGAUUAUGAUUGCUUUUCAAGAUGUUGUUAAUUGUAGGUGCCAAAAUCAAUGUCUAAUAUGGUUUUAGUCCUUAUGUCUGUUAAACAGACUCCACAGACCUUUGUUGGUGCCCUGUAAUAUUUUAAUUUCUGCUACCAAUGGAUUUUCAGGGCCAAAUGUUUUUAAAAAGCUCAUUGGAAAGGAAGCUUGAAUUUCAUCCCAGUGUGUUGUGAUUACUGAACCAUUUUUUUUCCUUUAGCUGUUUAAUUAUUUUUACCAACAGUAUGGUGCAAUGAUAAAUUGAGGGGAAAAUAGUGGCCAAUAGGAAACUUACUAUUCAUAUUAAUAUUUAUACAGGCUCUUUGUUGUUCAUAGGAAUGAACCUUGCUCUUUCAGCCACAGAGUUUGCAUCAUGCAUGUAUCAUAGAAAAAUAUCUGUACUGCAAGACACAGCUUUUAUCUUCAAUUCAGUUGAGUAGCACAAGCUUUGGACUUUAUGGAAAUGUAGUGUUCUAUGAUUGUGCUUUUUUCUUGUUUUGUUUUUUUUUAAUUUUUAAAAUUAUUGACAGACAUAAUAGGGAAUGACAAGGAAUAAUGAGGCCACUCAAAUUAUAUAUUUCAUGACUUUUCAAGGAACAUAGUCCCAGAGGUCGGCCUAGUGACCAUAUUUUUUAUUUUGGCCAAUGUAGCACAAUUAUUCUUUUAAGCAGAAUUCACUUUUGUAUUCAAUGCACAGUUCUGUUCAAUAAAUGGAAUGUCAAUGUAUGUUCUUUUAUGCCUUUUUUGAGUUUUGGCAUUGUUUCAUUUUGUUUUCCCCUUCUGCAAAUAAAAAUGAAUAAUGCUAGCAGCUUAAACAGAAGAAGGAAAAUCCAUAUAAAAAAAUCAUAUGGAUUUUCUAAGAUAAUUUAGGCCACAAGGAUGGCCUAAAUCGUCUCAAAUAUCUUUUCCAACCUAAGUGAGUCUAUGAUUCUAAAGACUCUGUCAUGAAAUAUUUGGGAAGUAUCCCAUGUAUUGCAUCACAAACCUUUCAGUGACUAUGAUUAUCUAUGAUAGUAUAUAAAACAUAAGAAAAUAUAAUAGAUGAGACAAUAGAUUUGCCUCAGCAGGUGGUGUUUGAGGAAAUUUGGCAUUACAUAAUAUGUCAAAGAGUAUACAUCAGCCAAUAUAUGAGUGUUUAAAUUAAAAAACAAAUCUAAUUUUGAUGUA